rfam:Bacteria symbiont BFo1 of Frankliniella occidentalis strain BFo1 contig086, whole genome shotgun sequence.
CAGCCAACUGGUAGCUAUAGCCAGGGGCGGUAGCGUG